CACCAGAGAUGGGUGGGUAGAUAAUUUACGCUAAAGCAUUUUCAUUGAUGUUUAUCGUUUUGAGUGAAUUUGUGACUUUGGUAAAAGGUUUUGCAGAACCUGAUCAACUUUAGUGGGAUUUGCCUCGUGUGGGCAUGGAUACGUGUUUCAGUAGCUUUCUGCUGCAUAUAAACCAAGGAAUCCCAGAGCUUGCGAUAGAAAGCACGCAUUUAGGUACACACAAAAAGAAAAUGGGAAGCUUUCUAGGUCUUCUGUACAAGGAAAACGACUCGUUCUUUCUGCUUCUUCUUCCCUUUUUCAUCUUCACACACUUCCUCAUUAAAUGGCUAUAUCCUACUACUCCUGCAGUCACCACAAAAAAGUUACUUCCUUCCCCACCAAAGCUCCCAAUCAUUGGAAACCUCCACCAACUAGGCUCGCUCCCUCACCGUUCUCUCUGGGCCUUGGCUCAGCGCCAUGGCCCCCUUAUGCUGCUCCACUUUGGCAGGGUUCCAGUGGUCAUCGUCUCAGCUGUAGACGCUGCAAGAGAGAUCAUGAAGACCAAUGAUGCCAUCUUCUCAAAUAGGCCUAAAUCAAACAUCUCGGCAAAGCUUCUCUAUGAUUACAAGGACGUUUCCACGGCCCCCUAUGGAGAGUACUGGAGACAGAUGAGGAGUAUCUGUGUACUCCACCUUCUCAGCACCAGAAGGGUUCAGUCCUUCCGAGGUGUCCGAGAAGAAGAGACAGCCCUUCUGAUGGAGAAGAUCUCUUCCUCUUCUUCCUCCUCCAUCCCAAUUGAUUUGAGCCAAAUGUUUCUGUCCCUAACAAAUGAUCUCAUAUGCAGAGUUGCCCUAGGACGAAAAUACAGUGGAGAUGAAAAUGGAAGAAAAUAUAGAGAACUGCUGAAGGAGUUUGGGGCGUUGCUGGGUUGCUUCAAUGUUGGCGACUACAUCCCAUGGCUUCGUGGGUGAACUUCAUCAAUGGUUUGGAUGCAAAAGUGGAGAAAGUGGCCAAAGAGUUUGAUAGAUUUCUUGAUGAAGUGGUGAAAGAGCACGUGGAGAGAAGGAAAAGAGGUGUAGAUGAGGAAGUGAAGGAUUUUGUGGACGUUUUGCUUGGCAUUCAGGAGGAUAAUGUCACAGGCGUUGCCAUAACUGGAGUUUGCAUCAAAGCUCUGACUCUGGACAUGUUUGCUGCUGGAAGUGAUACUACAUACACGGUCCUAGAGUGGGCAAUGACAGAGCUCUUGAGGCACCCACAAGUCAUGAGGCAACUUCAGAAUGAGGUCCGAGGAAUUGCUCAAGGCAAACUCCUCAUAACUGAAGAUGACUUGGACAAAAUGCAAUAUUUGAAGGCAGUGAUCAAAGAGACUCUCAGACUAUACCCUCCAAUCCCACUACUAGUUCCCAGAGAAUCCACCCGCGACGCCAAAAUAAUGGGCUACGACAUUGCAGCACGGACACAAGUCAUUACCAAUGUAUGGGCAAUUGGGAGAGAUCCACUGCUGUGGGAUGAGGCCGAGGAGUUUCGGCCAGAAAGGUUCUUGAACUCUUCUAUAGAUUUCAGGGGGCAAGACUUUGAGUUGAUCCCAUUUGGAUCUGGCCGGAGAGGUUGCCCGGGAACUCUGUUCGCGGCAAUGGCAAUUGAGGUUGUGUUAGCAAAUCUUGUUCAUCGGUUUGAUUGGGAAGUGGGUGGUGGAGGUAGAAGGGAGGAUUUGGAUAUGACUGAAUGCACUGGUCUGACCAUUCAUAGAAAAGUUCCACUUCUUGCAGUUGCAACUCCAUGGCCUCGCUGAGUGUGUGGAUACCUUUCAUUUUGUUGUAUUAUCGUCCUAUUUGAGAUAAAUAAUAAUAAUAAAUAUAUAAAAAUAAAUAGAAUUUUUUUCUUCUGUUUUUAUACCUAGAAUAAUAAUAAAUAUUCUUUUAA